rnacentral:rRNA from 1 species
AAAAACAUGGCUUCUCGAAUUUAACUUAUGUGAAGUCGUACCUGCCCAGUGAAGUUUUAACGGCCGCGGUACUCUGACCGUGCAAAGGUAGCAUAAUAAUUUGCCUUAUAAUUGAAGGCUGGAAUGAAUGGUUUGUCAAGGAUAAAACUGUCUCUAUAAAAUUCUAUAGAAUUUUAUUUUUAGGUGAAAAAGCCUAAAUUUUAUUAAAAGACAAGAAGACCCUAUCGAGCUUUAAAAAAGUUAGUAAAUAUUUAUAACUAAUUAGAAAUUUAAUUACAAAAAAUUUUGGUUGGGGCAACCUAGGAGUAAAUAAAGCCUCCUUUUUUAAAAAUACCGUUUUGUUAUGAUCCAAAAGUUUUGAUCAAAAGAAAUAGUUACCGUAGGGAUAACAGCAUUAUUUUUUUUAAGAGUUCUUAUCGAAAAAAAAGUUUGUGACCUCGAUGUUGGACCAGAAUAUCCUGAAGAUGUAGAAGUCUUCAAGGGUUGGUCUGUUCGACCAUUAAAAUUCUACGUGAUC